CUUCCAUGAAAACGUGGAGGGGGAAAACUGUGACCACUGCAAGCUGGGUUUCUACCAUCUCCUGGGCGAGCGUCUCCGCGGCUGAGAGAAGUGCUACUGUUCCGGCGUAGCUAGCAACUGCUCCGACUCCCACUGGACCUACAGUAAUGUAAAAGACUACGCCAGGCCUCACUCUCUCAUUUCCCCCCACUAACGCAACUCAUUAGUGCCUCCUGCCUGGUGUUGCGCUGCCUGCCGAGUUAAGUCUCUCCUAGCCGGCCUUAUUAAAUCAGGGUGCUGAGGGCUGGGCUGAUGACAAGGUGGAGUGCAGGUGGAGGAACGAGGCAUAGCCCCCCCCACACACACACACACACAUCCAGGCAGAACAGUUCCAACUGUUCUGCCUGCAGCUAUGGAACCCUGACCUGUUCACCGGACGUGCUACCUGUCCCAGACCUGCUGUUUUCAACUCUCUAGAGACAGCAGGAGCGGUAGAGAUACUCUCAAAGAUCGGCUAUGAAAAAGCCAACUGACACUUACUCUUGUGUUACUGACUUGUUGCACCCUCGACAACUACUAUGAUUAUUAUUAUUUGACAAUGCUGGUCAUUUAUGAACAUUUGAACAUCUAGGCCAUGUGCUGUUAUAAUCUCCACCCGGCACAGCCAGAAGAGGACUGGCCACCCUUCAUAGCCUGGUUCCUCUCUAGGUUUCUUCCUAGGUUUUGGCCUUUCUAGGGAGUUUUUCCUAGCCACCGUGCUUCUACACCUGCAUUGCUUGCUGUUUGGGGUUUUAGGCUGGGUUUCUGUACAGCACUUUGUGAUAUCAGCUGAUGAGACAUCCAUGGCUGGCUGGUCCCUGACAGCGGCGGAUGGGGAGGGGAAGGUGUGGCCCGCCCCAAGCAGAGACAGAGACUGGCCCCAGACACUCAGCAUUAAUAACCAGGAGGCCAGGAGACACCUUCCUGCUGUCUACUACUGAAGCGUGCCUGGGCAACAAGGUCCGCACACAACAGCCCUCUUUCUCUCUCACAUACACUCAAACGUGCACACACACAACUGUAUUGUGCAGUUUUACAUUGUCAAUAUACAAGGAUGCUCUGGGCUCUGCUGUACUGAAGUAUAACACAACUGUUGUGGUCUUCUGUUGCAUUCAUUGUGUCUUUUGACAGAUUAUGUACUUUUGUACUCUGAAGUUGUACUAUUUAUUUAUGGAGUUUAUGCAAGGGCUUUUUGUAUAUUGUUUGAAUAUUAGUUUCUUAUCUUUUCUCCUCAUAGGCUUUGCAUGUCUUCCCAUCCCAUUGUCUCUAACACAUUCUAUUCCCCCGCAGUGCAUUCUGGGGGAAAACAAUGCUUCGCUCCAUGAACUCUGUAAUAAUGUAUUUUUCUCUAACAAAAGUCUUCAGGCAUCAGGG
rnacentral:lncRNA from 1 species